rnacentral:rRNA from 1 species
UACGGAGGGUGCAAGCGUUAUCCGGAUUCACUGGGUUUAAAGGGUGCGUAGGCGGGCAGGUAAGUCAGUGGUGAAAUCCCCGAGCUUAACUCGGGAACUGCCAUUGAUACUAUCUGUCUUGAAUAUUGUGGAGGUAAGCGGAAUAUGUCAUGUAGCGGUGAAAUGCUUAGAUAUGACAUAGAACACCUAUUGCGAAGGCAGCUUACUACGCAUAUAUUGACGCUGAGGCACGAAAGCGUGGGGAUCAAACAGG